rnacentral:rRNA from 1 species
AGGACGAACGCUGGCGGCGUGCCUAAUACAUGCAAGUCGAACGGUCUUUCUAUGGAAGCUUGCUUCCACUGAGAAGAUAGUGGCGAACGGGUGAGGUAACACGUGGGUAACCUGCCCAUAAGAGGGGGAUAACAUCCGGAAACGGGUGCUAAUACCGCAUAGUUUUCUUGAUCGCAUGAUCGGGAAAGGAAAGACGGCCUUUGUGCUGUCGCUUAUGGAUGGACCCGCGGCGUAUUAGUUAGUUGGUGAGGUAACGGCUCACCAAGACGAUGAUACGUAGCCGACCUGAGAGGGUGAUCGGCCACAUUGGGACUGAGACACGGCCCAAACUCCUACGGGAGGCAGCAGUAGGGAAUCUUCCGCAAUGGACGAAAGUCUGACGGAGCAACGCCGCGUGAGUGAAGAAAGGUUUUCGGAUCGUAAAACUCUGUUGUCAGAGAAGAACAAGUUGGAGAGUAACUGCUCCAGCCUUGACGGUAUCUGACCAGAAAGCCACGGCUAACUACGUGCCAGCCGCUGC